CGAACGGUAACAGGAAGCAGCUUGCUGCUUCGCUGACGAGUGGCGGACGGGUGAGUAAUGUCUGGGAAACUGCCUGAUGGAGGGGGAUAACUACUGGAAACGGUAGCUAAUACCGCAUAACGUCGCAAGACCAAAGAGGGGGACCUUCGGGCCUCUUGCCAUCGGAUGUGCCCAGAUGGGAUUAGCUAGUAGGUGGGGUAACGGCUCACCUAGGCGACGAUCCCUAGCUGGUCUGAGAGGAUGACCAGCCACACUGGAACUGAGACACGGUCCAGACUCCUACGGGAGGCAGCAGUGGGGAAUAUUGCACAAUGGGCGCAAGCCUGAUGCAGCCAUGCCGCGUGUAUGAAGAAGGCCUUCGGGUUGUAAAGUACUUUCAGCGGGGAGGAAGGGAGUAAAGUUAAUACCUUUGCUCAUUGACGUUACCCGCAGAAGAAGCACCGGCUAACUCCGUGCCAGCAGCCGCGGUAAUACGGAGGGUGCAAGCGUUAAUCGGAAUUACUGGGCGUAAAGCGCACGCAGGCGGUUUGUUAAGUCAGAUGUGAAAUCCCCGGGCUCAACCUGGGAACUGCAUCUGAUACUGGCAAGCUUGAGUCUCGUAGAGGGGGGUAGAAUUCCAGGUGUAGCGGUGAAAUGCGUAGAGAUCUGGAGGAAUACCGGUGGCGAAGG
rnacentral:rRNA from 1 species